rnacentral:rRNA from 1 species
UACGUAGGGUGCAAGCGUUGUCCGGAAUUAUUGGGCGUAAAGAGCUCGUAGGCGGUUUGUCGCGUCUGCUGUGAAAACCCGAGGCUCAACCUCGGGCCUGCAGUGGGUACGGGCAGACUAGAGUGCGGUAGGGGAGAUUGGAAUUCCCGGUGUAGCGGUGAAAUGCGCAGAUAUCGGGAAGAACACCCGUGGCGAAGGCGGUUCUCUGGGACGGUACUGACGCUGAGACGCGAAAGCGUGGGGAGCGAACAGG